GAUGAACGCUGGCGGUAUGCUUUACACAUGCAAGUCGUACGAGAGUUUUUAACUCUAGUGGCGGACGGGUGAGUAACACGUAAGAAUUUGCCUUUAGGAGGGGGAUAACAACUGGAAACGGUUGCUAAUACCCCAUAUGCUUUCGAGUGAAAUGGAUUUCCGCCUAAAGAGAAGCUUGCGGCUGAUUAGCUUGUUGGUGAGGUAAUGGCUCACCAAGGCGACGAUCAGUAUCUGGUUUGAGAGGACGAUCAGACACACUGGAACUGAGACACGGUCCAGACUCCUACGGGAGGCAGCAGUGGGGAAUUUUCCGCAAUGGGCGAAAGCCUGACGGAGCAAUACCGCGUGAGGGAUGAAAGCCUAUGGGUUGUAAACCUCUUUUUUCAGGGAGGAACAAAAUGACGUGUACCUGAAGAAUAAGCAUCGGCUAACUCCGUGCCAGCAGCCGCGGUAAGACGGGGGAUGCAAGUGUUAUCCGGAAUCACUGGGCGUAAAGCGUCUGUAGGUGGUUAAGUAAGUCAACUGUUAAAUCUUGAGGCUUAACCUCAAAAUCGCAGUCGAAACUGCUUGACUAGAGUAUAGU
rnacentral:rRNA from 1 species